AAGUAUAAGCAAUCUAUACGGUGAAACUGCGAAUGGCUCAUUAAAUCAGUUAUCGUUUAUUUGAUAGUACCUUACUACUUGGAUAACCGUGGUAAUUCUAGAGCUAAUACAUGCUAAAAACCCCGACUUCGGAAGGGGUGUAUUUAUUAGAUAAAAAACCAAUGCCCUUCGGGGCUCCUUGGUGAUUCAUGAUAACUUAACGAAUCGCAUGGCCUUGUGCCGGCGAUGGUUCAUUCAAAUUUCUGCCCUAUCAACUUUCGAUGGUAGGAUAGUGGCCUACCAUGGUUUCAACGGGUAACGGGGAAUUAGGGUUCUAUUCCGGAGAGGGAGCCUGAGAAACGGCUACCACAUCCAAGGAAGGCAGCAGGCGCGCAAAUUACCCAAUCCCGACACGGGGAGGUAGUGACAAUAAAUACUGAUACAGGGCUCUUUUGGGUCUUGUAAUUGGAAUGAGUACAAUUUAAAUCCCUUAACGAGGAACAAUUGGAGGGCAAGUCUGGUGCCAGCAGCCGCGGUAAUUCCAGCUCCAAUAGCGUAUAUUAAAGUUGUUGCAGUUAAAAAGCUCGUAGUUGAACCUUGGGCCUGGCUGGCGGGUCCGCCUCACCGCGUGCACUUGUCCGGCCGGGCCUUUCCUUCUGGGGAGCCGCAUGCCCUUCACUGGGUGUGUCGGGGAACCAGGACUUUUACUUUGAAAAAAUUAGAGUGUUCAAAGCAGGCCUAUGCUCGAAUACAUUAGCAUGGAAUAAUAGAAUAGGACGUGUGGUUCUAUUUUGUUGGUUUCUAGGACCGCCGUAAUGAUUAAUAGGGAUAGUCGGGGGCAUCAGUAUUCAAUUGUCAGAGGUGAAAUUCUUGGAUUUAUUGAAGACUAACUACUGCGAAAGCAUUUGCCAAGGAUGUUUUCAUUAAUCAGUGAACGAAAGUUAGGGGAUCGAAGACGAUCAGAUACCGUCGUAGUCUUAACCAUAAACUAUGCCGACUAGGGAUCGGGCGAUGUUAUCUUUUUGACUCGCUCGGCACCUUACGAGAAAUCAAAGUUUUUGGGUUCUGGGGGGAGUAUGGUCGCAAGGCUGAAACUUAAAGAAAUUGACGGAAGGGCACCACCAGGAGUAAACCGCUCAUGCGUAGCCGCAGCAGCUCUGCUCCAGAAAGCAGCCCGAAAGGGUCAGUGGUGUUCCUUGCUCCGGGUUUCGACCUGGGGCAGAACUAAGUGCUAGUCGUCCUCGGGGACGGCGACACCCUCAAACUGCGGGAAACUCCUAAAGUCUCAGCUACCAAGCCGGCAUGCGAAAGCUGCUGGUGGCCAGGUUAAUUGCCUCGGGUAUGGUUACAAUGCUGGGGAUGUUACAAUGGACAAUCCGCAUCCAAGCUCCUAAGGUCGAACGACUACGGAGAAGGUUCAGAGACUAGAUGGGGGUGGGUAGUCGAUUCGGUACUGCUUAAGAUAUAGUCCGGCUGCGAGUGAAAACUCGCAGGUAGGUAUCGCCUAUCUACCGCGCCCGCGGGCGUGGGAAGAACGGGAGCCUGCGGCUUAAUUUGACUCAACACGGGGAAACUCACCAGGUCCAGACACAAUAAGGAUUGACAGAUUGAGAGCUCUUUCUUGAUUUUGUGGGUGGUGGUGCAUGGCCGUUCUUAGUUGGUGGAGUGAUUUGUCUGCUUAAUUGCGAUAACGAACGAGACCUUAACCUGCUAAAUAGCCAGGCUAGCUUUGGCUGGUCGCCGGCUUCUUAGAGGGACUAUCGGCUCAAGCCGAUGGAAGUUUGAGGCAAUAACAGGUUGACCUUCACAGGCCUGUAAAUGCAGGCCUCAAACUUUCGAUGGUCAGUGGGUGUCGGAUACUGCAAGUACAUCAUCUUUACCACCCCGGAGCGAGCGCUCCAUUACGAGGGGGUGGGGUAUUCGCCGAAUACCUGAUGGGUGCGAGAUGACCUGGUUCAGGGGACGCCUCACUGUAGGCCAAUCCUGAGGCGAGCUAGAGUAGCGUCUAGCCGUCGCAACGCACGCAAAGGCAUCGGUUCGCCCCGUAGCGAUACGGGCGAGCUUAAAGGUACGUGCUAUACCCUCCGCAAGGAGUGCUAGUAGAAUAGGCCUCGUAAGCCGAAGCUGCUGGGAUCGUCAUCCGGAUCCGUUCCGUGUCGGUUGUGCGAGGGUGCGAGAGACCUCGGUCUCCGCCACCCUCUGAAAGCUGUGAUGCCCUUAGAUGUUCUGGGCCGCACGCGCGCUACACUGACAGAGCCAACGAGUUCAUCACCUUGGCCGAAAGGUCUGGGUAAUCUUGUUAAACUCUGUCGUGCUGGGGAUAGAGCAUUGCAAUUAUUGCUCUUCAACGAGGAAUUCCUAGUAAGCGCAAGUCAUCAGCUUGCGCUGAUUACGUCCCUGCCCUUUGUACACACCGCCCGUCGCUACUACCGAUUGAAUGGCUCAGUGAGGCUUUCGGACUGGCUCAGGGAGGUCGGCAACGACCACCCAGAGCCGGAAAGUUGUUCAAACUUGGUCAUUUAGAGGAAGUAAAAGUCGUAACAAGGUUUCCGUAGCAUAAGUCGUGGAACUGGCCGCAAGGCCGUCUGGUCGUUGAGGGUGAUGCCUCUGACCGUGAUCCUUCCGCAAGUGAAACUUAUAGAAGCCUUUGCAGCCUCGCAAGAGGUAGCCCAGCGACAGUAAAUAAUUUGGGACUCAUGCAAGUCACCGAUCCUCCGGGUUCGGUGGCGACACGAUCGAAUUGACGGGGACACCCUAAAGCCUGCAACACGAACCACCCAUGGAAACAUAGGGUGGGGCCCAUGCUAACAACAUGGGGUCGUAAAAGAGUGCAGUGAUGAACCCGACGCCUGUCGGGGGAAAUGGGCAAUCCGCAGCGAAGACCCUACGGUGCUCUGCACACGGGUAACGUUCACAGACUAGGUGGUUGUGGGUGGCACUCCGGUGCUGCUUAAGAUAUAGUCGGGCCCCACGGGAAACCAUGGGGAUAAUUCACUUGCGAGUCACUCGUGACUCGAGAAUAGAACCGUUCCGUAGGUGAACCUGCGG
rnacentral:rRNA from 1 species